GUCCACGCCGUAAACGAUGAGUGCUUGGUGUAGCGGGUAUCGACCCCUGCUGUGCCGAAGUCAACACAUUAAGCACUCCGCCUGGGGAGUACGGUCGCAAGACUGAAACUCAAAGGAAUUGACGGGGGCCCCGCACAAGCGGUGGAGCAUGUGGUUUAAUUCGAAGCAACGCGCAGAACCUUACCUGGGUUGAACUGCACAGGAACGGGUCAGAGAUGAUCAAGCCUCUUCGGAGGUCUGUGUAGAGGUGCUGCAUGGCUGUCGU
rnacentral:rRNA from 1 species